rnacentral:rRNA from 1 species
UACGUAGGGGGCUAGCGUUGUCCGGAAUCAUUGGGCGUAAAGAGCGUGUAGGCGGUCCGGUAAGUCCGCUGUGAAAGUCGGGGGCUCAACCCUCGAAUGCCGGUGGAUACUGUCGGGCUAGAGUGCGGAAGAGGCGAGUGGAAUUCCUGGUGUAGCGGUGAAAUGCGCAGAUAUCAGGAGGAACACCGGUGGCGAAGGCGGUUCUCUGGGCCUGUACUGACGCUGGAGGAGCGAAAGCGUGGGGAGCGAACAGG